rnacentral:sRNA from 1 species
CAUUGUAUUUUUUUUACUUGAUUCUUGUAGCUUUUUCUUUCUCUCUUUCUCUUUUGUGUCUUGUACUUUGUAUAAUAAGGUUUGACUCUUUUUUAAUUUUCUUUUGUGUGUCUUAUAGAUAUUUUCUCUGUGGUUACCAUGGAAAUUAUAUAAAACAUCUUAAAGUUACAAGAUAUUUUACACUGAGAUGGGAUUUCACCAUACCACUCAGGCUUGUCUCGAACUCCUGGGCUCAAGCGAUCUGCCUGCCUCAGCCUCCCAAAGUGCUGGGAUUACAGGUGUGAACCACCGUGCCCAGCCUGGCCUCAAUGUUUCUCUGGACAAAUUCACUGCAUUGUGCUCACCUGGGGUGCUGCAAACUCUGAAGUGGUUUUUAGAGUUCAGAUGCAUUUUCUCACUAGCGGUGUCUUCUCAUUUUACCCAAGACCUUCUGCCAGAGCAGGGCAUACAAGAUGCAUUCCCAAAAACAAUACUGAGAGGAUAUGGAAAUUGUGGCCUUGAUAAUUUAUAUUUAAGGAAAGACUGGGAAAGUUUAGAUGAGUGUAAGUUGCAAAAAGAUUAUAAUGGACUUAACCAAUGUUC